rnacentral:rRNA from 1 species
CAGUCGCCACGGGAACACGGAGGGUCCGAGCGUUAAUCGGAAUUACUGGGCGUAAAGCGUGCGCAGGCGGUUUGUUAAGCGAGAUGUGAAAGCCCUGGGCUCAACCUAGGAAUAGCAUUUCGAACUGGCGAACUAGAGUCUUGUAGAGGGGGGUAGAAUUCCAGGUGUAGCGGUGAAAUGCGUAGAGAUCUGGAGGAAUACCGGUGGCGAAGGCGGCCCCCUGGACAAAGACUGACGCUCAUGCACGAAAGCGUGGGGAGCAAACAGGAUUAGAUACCCCUGUAGUCCCUGUCUCUUAUAA